UGGGGAAUCUUAGACAAUGGGGGAAACCCUGAUCUAGCCAUGCCGCGUGAGUGACGAAGGCCUUAGGGUCGUAAAGCUCUUUCGCCAGGGAUGAUAAUGACAGUACCUGGUAAAGAAACCCCGGCUAACUCCGUGCCAGCAGCCGCGGUAAUACGGAGGGGGUUAGCGUUGUUCGGAAUUACUGGGCGUAAAGCGCACGUAGGCGGACUAUUAAGUCAGGGGUGAAAUCCCGGGGCUCAACCCCGGAACUGCCUUUGAUACUGGUAGUCUUGAGUUCGAGAGAGGUGAGUGGAAUUCCGAGUGUAGAGGUGAAAUUCGUAGAUAUUCGGAGGAACACCAGUGGCGGAGGCGGCUCACUGGCUCGAUACUGACGCUGAGGUGCGAAAGCGUGGGGAGCAAACAGGAUUAGAUACCCCCGUAGUCC
rnacentral:rRNA from 1 species